UACCAGCACCCCGAGUGGUCGGGACGAUUAUUGGGCCUAAAGCAUCCGUAGCCGGCCUUACAAGUCCUCCGUUAAAUCCAGCUGCUUAACAGAUGGGCUGCGGAGGAUACUAUAAGACUAGGAGGCAGGAGAGGCAAGCGGUACUCAGUGGGUAGGGGUAAAAUCCGUUGAAUCCAUUGAAGACCACCAGUGGCGAAGGCGGCUUGCCCAGAAGCGCGACGGACGGUGAGGGAUGAAAGCUGGGGGAGCAAACCGG
rnacentral:rRNA from 1 species